rnacentral:rRNA from 1 species
UACGUAGGGUGCGAGCGUUGCCCGGAUUUAUUGGGCGUAAAGGGCUCGUAGGCGGCCAACUAAGUCAGACGUGAAAUCCCUCAGCUUAACUGGGGAACUGCGUCUGAUACUGGAUGGCUUGAGUUUGGGAGAGGGACGCGGAAUUCCAGGUGUAGCGGUGAAAUGCGCAGAUAUCAGGAGGAACACCAAUGGCGAAGGCAGCUCGCUGGGACGUGACUGACGCUGAGACGCGAAAGCGUGGGGAGCAAACAGG